GGCCUCUUUCAGGACUGGGGAGAGCCCUGGGGCCAGGGCCCCUCCUCUUUUUGGGACACCAGGUCUAGCUGGGCAAGUGGCCCCUGUUCCAGCCAGGAGCAGAGGUGCUGUGCCUUCUGCCCUGGGCACAGGGACCUGCCACUGUCACCAGCUCUUUCCACAGCUCGUCCUGAUGCUGGGCCUGCCCUGAAGGGAUGGGCACAGGAGGGGAGUGGCUGUGAAACCCAGGGCGGGGCUUUCACAUUGACUGCUCUCAGUGAGUGUCUGGAAAUGACAGUUUUCCAUCUUCUGCCAACCAAGGCUGCCAGUGUUUCUGUGUUUGUAUUGAUGAGAAGGGUAGAGUGUGGGUUUGUGGUUUCAUGGAGAGCAAAGCAGUGUCUGAAUUCAAUUGAUUUCAAUUUUUUCUUUCAUGGUAUUUUGUCUGUGAAAAGUCUGAAAAUCAAGGACAUCUUUCUGGAAUCUGCUGUCUGUGACCUCAAUACUGGCCGAGUGACCCUUCAGAACCUUGACCUGACUAAGCGAGCGCAUGAACUCUUUUAGGUCUUUUUAGAGGGAGAAAAUAAACCAAACCCAAACCUGUUUGUUGAAUCUUUGGAAAAUCUGACUUAUCCAAGACAGUAUCAUUUGGAAUGUACAGAUCUUCUGUUCAUCAUUCAUUCAGGCGCCUGUGAAGCCAGAGCAGCAAUGCUCUCUUCAAAGAUUUAACACAGCUGAUUGACAUCAAGUCGCUUGAAAUUUUGGCCUCAACUUUCAGUGAUAUUUUGAAUAUGACAAUUUCCGUUUCAGGGAGGAGCAGAAUGCAUUUGCACAGUUCCAUUAUGGUUUGUUUUUUUUUUUUUUCAACACACAGAUUCUCUCAUUUCCCCUUCUGUAGCCUUAAGCAUUAAAGUCAACCAUCUGCUUUGGAAAUGCAGCUGAAAUGUAGCUCUUUCUGCUAUUUUGCUUAACUUUUUUUUAGGGGCUGAAAAUAUUCAGUUGUAAUUUGCUUUACAUUCUUUGUAUUAUUUGCCACUGUGGCAUUGGAAAAAUUCACAGGAGUUUCUCCCAUCUUGGAUUUCAAAAUAAUUUAAAAUAUUAUUAUAAAGACGAUUUGGCAAUAUUUAAUUUUUGCUUCCUGUGUAACUUUAUUAAAUCUGUGCUUUAAAACAGGUGUCACCUAGCAGGCUUUCAGUUCAAUGACAGCAGUUGCUUUUCAGCAGGCUGAUUUUCCUGUAGGACUAGCCAAGGAAAGUACCUUAGGAAACUGAGUUUUCCACAUUGUUGCAGUGUAGGAAUGGUAUUCCCUAGUUGAGUGCUCACGCUGAUACUCCUCAGAGCACAUGCCCCUCACUGACUUCCCCACCACUUUCCCUGUGGCAGGAUGGAGAGAAGAGCACAAAUGGGUAAAGAUCACGGGUUGAGAUAAGAACAAUUUACUAGAAACAGCAGUGAAAAAAGAACACAGACGGUAAUAACAGCACUAAAAGGAGAGUGUACAAGAGGCGAAUGAGUCACACGUGAUCGUUCUCCACACAGAACUUGGCACAGCCCGUGACUUACAGCACACAGGUGGAGGAAGAACAAACCCUUCCAUUUGCCCCUGCCACGUGGCAGGUGGUAUCCAGUUACCCCAAGGUCCUGGCCGUGCUCCUCUGAGCUGCUGCAAAGAUCACCCUCCUGGCCGGAUCCAGGACACAGGAUCCUUCCUGCGGGUCCUGGCUCUUGCUCUGGGUGACAGACCCCCAUGGCAUCUGCCCCGGCAAAAGGGACUUGAGGACAACCUCUCACUUACUGACAUCAGCCCCUCUGCCCCUGCCCCAGCUCCCUUUUUGCCUCCAGAAAACUUUGAACAGAAGUAGCACUUAAGUACAGUUCUGCACAUCCUGAACUGGCAGGAAGGUGACCCACAUGUCGCUCUAGGCACAUGUGCAGCAAGGACAAAGAAGGUGUUUGAGGGGCUGGCUCUCAAGGCAUUCACUCAUGCAAUAGGAGCCCUGUUUCUGAGAGGCACAGCCGAGAGUGGAGCAGUCAGGUGUGGAGAACAGGGGAUCUCCUGAGCCAGGGAAACCCUGGGGGAGCAGAGAGACGCAGACACCGGGCAGACCCCAAGUGACACCUGCUGCUGGGGCACAGGCACCGCGGGGACACGCACACUUUGGGGUGAGCUUGCUGUGCUUUACUGGAGCAUGCAGCACACAGGCAUUCUGUUUCUCAGAAAUCAUUAAAUAUGUAUAAAUUGCUGGAGUCUGCACAGUUAGUUUCUGAGGGUCUGCUGGGGAUCUUUAGAGACCCUGGGUGUUCACUGAGCUUUUGGACUUUUGUUGACCUUUCAUUGUGGUCUUCCAUAUAGUAGUCAUUUUCAUCUUGGUUAUCUGAGCUGCAGAAUGUGUUCUUGAGGAAACUGUAUUGCUCUGGCUUGGCUUGGGACAUAGAGGGUUUCAGAGCUUUCAGAGUUCCACUACCCACUCCUUCCUCCUAAACUAUUUGCAACAUAGAUCCUCACACAGAUCCUUUCAAGAUUUGUCUUGGAAGUCUCACUUCUAAAACUAAUUUUCUUUUCUAGGAUAAUAAUAUUUGUUAUUAUAAAUAUUUGCAAAACAUCUCAUGAAAGCUGACAUACAAUGAAUUAUCACACAGAAAAAAAAAUGCAAACAGCAAUAAUUCCAGCACGGGCUAUAAAUACUUCUGUAAGCCUUUAAAGGUCUGGUAGCCAUGAGGAAAGCCAGUCCCACCUACAGUGGGGACUUCUAGUCUUCUCCCAUUCUUACACUCCUUUUUCUGAUUGAUUGAUGAUAUGCCAGAUUGCUGGAUAUCAAAUCAAUUAGCAUUCUUGUAACAAAUCCAGCAAUUUGUAACCUUUACUCAGGGUUCAAGGCAGUAGCUGUCUUUAGCACCACGUCUUUCGUUCCAGGAGCACCACCUGUUACUUUAAGGUUCUGUUCAGGGAUAACCAGUGACCUCCUUUUUGUGCUGAACCAGACAUAACCAUGUUGGGCACAUAAACUGACACUUUUCUUUCCCAUUUAUUUUCAAGUAUAUUCUAUCAAUCAGGACCAUGGUGGUUCCUGCCCUGAGGUGCAUUGACCAUGCCUUGAGUACAUUUUUUAGUUAUUUUUUGAGAAAUACACUCAAAAUACCACAGGGUUCCUUCCUUCGUUCCCAUUCUUUGAGCUAAAUAUGGGGCUACUGUGCAGGGCAAAGGCACUCAUGGAUGAACAGUGCAAAGGGUUCCAUCAAAUCUGGUAUCUCCAGAGUAGGGGUUGUCAUCAAUAACCUUUAAAAGAUAUGGAAAGGCUGUUGGACAUUCCAGAGUCCAGUGUAACAACCUCCAUGGAUUCCUUUCAUGGUUCAUACAAAGGCUUUUCCAACAGUCCCUAACUGGGGCUCCAUAAUCAACACAAACCAGUCAUUCCCAAAAAGGCACGCAGUUCUUUUACAGAACCAUUGCCAGUUCAGAAAUGCUGCUUUUCCAGAAUGGGAGCAAAACUAAUCAGGAUCAUCUUUGCAGAAACGGCCUCUGGCUUCUGACUUUCUCAAUCCUGUGAUGGGCAAGAAGCAGAGGAUUGACCAAGAGCCCAGUGAUGUCCAGCCAGCAGCUGGUGGCCACUCUCCUUCUUUCUUGGACCUGCCUUCCACAUCCUGUUCAAUUUUGAACAUGUCUACAAAUGUCAGAUCCAUUUCCACUUCCACCCCUGAAGAACAACAGAAAAAUAAGGUUCAGACACAUUCUGGAUUGCCAGUGUCUGCCAGGGUGCAGGGGAAGACUCUCAAGUCCAAGGGAGAAGAAGCAGAGGUCAGAGGAGCCCAACAAAACAAUCCAGGUCCUGUGCCUGAGAAGAAGAGGAUGGUGCCUGUGAGACUUGCAGACAUCGACUGGAGCGGCUGCGCUGCUGUUUACGGCCGACCCUACAGGGACAGGGUGAUUCAUCUGCUUGCUCUGAGGGAUUACAAGGAGCCAGAGUUACUUGCUCGGCUGCAGAGAGAUGGAGUCAGGCCAAAGGACAAGGACUCCCUUGGAAAGAUCCUUCAGCAGGUGAGAUCAUGGAGCUUGUGCCAGCAAUUCGUCCAUUAUGCUGUUUUGCUGUUCCUAAUUUUACUACUUCCUCACCUGUUCAAAUUAGAGACUUUUCCAAUACUCCUUCAAGAUAAGUUCCACUGGUAUUUCUUUCUGAUAGGCUUUCGUCAGAGGCACACCCAUGGAAAGAUGCAGUAGCUCCUUCUUUCAUUUUUAAAUAUUCCCCAUGCACCUAAGCUGUUGCUGAAUUAUGCAAGCAUUAUUAUAUUAAAUAGGAUUAUUUCCUCUUUAGCUAAGAAAAAGAGUUUUGGAGCCUAGGCAAAGGAUUCAAAUUCAACGUGGAUACAGUUUCAGUUGUUCACAGGAUGACUUUUAAGAACUCAUUCUCUGAACCUGUGAAGUUUGUUGCUGUGUUUGCCCAGGGCAGUGGCAGAGCUUUUUCACCCUGCAGACAUUCACAACAUGAUGAGAGCCAUGUUCUGCCAUCCCAGCUGAAGUAGCUCCUUUAGAUUUCUGUAGUUUGCAUAUAGGUGUAAUGAAGAUUUGUUUUCCUGAACAUCUGCCUGUAGGUAGCCAACCUGAAUGCAAAGGAGAAUUCCUUCAGUCUGAAGGAACAUCUAUUUCAAACCCUUCAGACUGAUUGGCUGGCUACAGUAAAAUCGAAAGAAAGAGUUUGAAGUUAAUACUUUCUAGAAAAUCAGCUCCAUCUCAGAACCCCACCAGCAGCAGCCAAGCGACAUCUCCAAGGCCUUCUGAGACAGAUGCUCCAGCAAGACCUGCUCAGGUAUUUUGUGCAUUUUUAACAUUCUGCACUGUGUAUUACAUUUUAGCAGACUUGCUGGUGAUGUAAAAGCUGUGAUGGGAAUGUGCAGGACCAGGCCUGGGCAUGUUUUGCCACACACUGCUGUGACCUCAAGCUUGUGAUAAGAAGAGAGGAUCCAGCAGGGGUGGAGCAGCAUUGUCCUGAUCCAACUUUCUGCUCUGCCUGGAGACUUGAGCUCAGCCCCCACCCUCAACUCAUUCCCUGGACAAGGGCUCAAAGGGCUGGCUCUGCUUGUGUGACAGAACUGCAUGAAAAAUCUCCUGUGCAUAAGAGGCUGCACCAGGUGGGGCAGAUGGGGCCCUCUUGCUCUCUUCUCCCUCUGUCUCUCUGUCACUCUCAUUGUUGACCCCACCUCCGCACUAUCCACAUGGCUGGACAAAACACAGCACCUACGGAAUGGUGCUAUUCCCUCACUCCCUCCUCUGCCUUAAUUUCUCUCCUCCCUCCCUCUGCCUGGGCACAGCACGGCUGUCCUGUUCUACUCCAUCCCUGGCCCUGAGGUUUGCUGUGCCUGUGGGGAGCUUGUGGCCGUCUGUUGUGGCUCGUGAGGCAGCACCUUUGAGAAGCUCCUUGGGAGGAGCUGAGAGAUGACUGAAGGGCCCUGAGCAACAGCAAGGGCUCCUUGGUAACCACUUGUGAAACUCUCUUGUACAAGUUUAAAGACUUGUUAGCCAACAGCUUUUGAGUCUGCGGAGUGGGUAAGCCUGCUGGAUUUAAGACAGCUGUAGCUAAAUGCACAAGAGUUUCUGGACAUGUGACUGGUGACUGUGUUCAUCCUGAUGAGAAUUCACAACCAACCAUAACAACCUGUACUCAUGGGUUGUAAUAGUGAAGCAUUAAUCUUGUUUUUAAUGCAUAAAACUCUAAAACAGCCAUGUUCCUCUGUAACAAAUUAUGUGGGUGUUUGAUAGCAAAAGCUGAGUCUUUUCCUGGUGUGUGCAAGCAGUAAUUGGGACCUAGUCAAAACUUACCUGGCAUCCCCAUUCUGGGGAGGCUUUGCUGGAGCUGCUGAAGGGAGUGCCUACUUCCCAAAGCCUUUUAGCAGUAGACUUGGAGAAGGAUGUGCUAAGUGCUAAGAUGAGAAAGUAGGAAUGCAGCAGAGCAGAUAUUUACCUGCAGGUCUUCCAGGUUUGACAGUUAUUUUUAAUUUAAAAUAGUGCAUUUUAAAACGUUGCCAAUUCAUAGAUGCUUCUUUUUUAGAAUGGAGAGCAAAACCUGAUUGUGAUCAUAGAAGAAUGAAUUAUUUUGUUUUUGUUGCAGAAACGGCCUCGGGCUUCUGGCUUUAUCAGUCCUGUGAGGAGCAAGAAGCAGAGAACUGAGCAGUAGCCCAGUUACAUCCAGGCAGCAGCUGGUGGCUGCUCUUCUUCCUGAGUGCUGGCUUUGACAUCCCAUUCUACAGGGAUGUCAGAGCCAUCCCCAUGGAAUGGGAUGUCAAAGCCAGCACCCUGCCUCCAAGUCUGGGAUCCAUUCCCCUGCACCCUUUAGGUUCAAAAAAAGACAAAUGUUGGAGUUCUAGAAUGCCAGCACUCAUGUGUAGAGGACUAGCAUGUCCAAAAAGAUGUGAAGAGAACUGGGGAGGCUGAAGCAGUAGUGUCCCUUGGAUUUCAAUGAAGGUAUUAAUGUGCUGCUUUUCCUAACUCCAGUGUGGACAAUGAUGGACUAAAAUUUAAUUAUUAAGAGAAGCCUCUGUUCAAAUUUUGGUGCAAGCAAGACCAUAUUUCAGAGUUAAUACUACAGAUGUUAUUUACAAGUAAUUGUGAACUAGGGAGAUAGAAAGGUAAAGGAGGAGAUGGGCCAGGUGGGGGGAAGUGCUGAGAUGAACACCGAGGUGGGUGAGGCCCGGACGGGCCCUUCCUUCCUGCAGUGCAGCUGCACAGGAUCAGCUGCAGCAGUGCUGCUGCAUCCCCUCAUGGCAUUUGCAGGAGAGGAGGGAGAAGUGUGUGUGUGGUAGAAAGCCCUGGAAAUUGCUGGCAGCUUGUGUCAGGGCAGUGAUGUUGGCAGGGGCAGCCAGGCCUCCUGCAGC